rnacentral:pre_miRNA from 1 species
AACUUUAGCGGUCUUGACGACAACAGCUAGAAUGGCCGCGGCGACGGAGGAUUGUCCCCCGAUGAGGCCGCCAUUCUAACUAUUGUCGUCUAGCUAAAGU